rnacentral:misc_RNA from 1 species
AAUAUAGGAUUCUAGAGAUAUGGAUAUGCUCACGCGGAUUAUGAGUUAAUAUAUAAUUUGCUCUGCUCACACGGUAUAUAAUUUGUUUUCGUUUCUAUGCAAUCCAUUGUAUAAUGGAAUCUCGGUUGUUGACAAUUGUAUUAAAAGGAUCAAUACAAUAUUGAGUUUAACAAGUACAAAAAUGAUAUCAAAAAACAAAACUUCAGCUUUAAAAAAGAAUAAAAACAGAAGUUCAAAUUCCGUGAAGAAAUAUUUUGAAUAUUCAAAUGAAUAUGAAAAUAUCAAAUGGCCUUGGAUUCAAGAAAUUGAAAAAACUGGCGACCUUAUAUAUAUUGAAAAUCAAGUUUCAUAUGGCUCACUAAGUGAAGCACCUGAUAUUAGUGAAAGUAAUUUGUUCCGUUCGUUGAGGGAACAAAGUGUACCGCAAAUAAUUAAGCAUGCCAUAAAAAAUACACCUUUAUUUGCAAGGAGAGGUUUAAAAGAAGAACAAAAUGAUGGUAAUCUAAAAAGCAGGCGAAAUAGUAUACAUUUCCAUCCAUCAUUUUCAAAAAGUAAAAAUAACUUAGAGGUUGUGGGUACUAAAGCAUUUAGAAAAGAUAUAAUCAUUCCCUUAACUACAAAACUUGCUCCUGGGUUUAUAGAUUUAGAAAACAUGUUUGGUAUAAUUUCUGGUUUGGAGUAUGGCCAGGUUUUAAAUAAUGAAAUAACAUUAGAGGAUUACAGUGGAUCAAAAGAUUCUAUUCUUGUUCAGGGAAUAGUUCCAUCUAGUCAAACUUUUUUUUCAGAAGAUGUUUUUGUAGGUGAUGUUUUAGUAGCUGUUAAUGGAGAUGAAGUUGAUUGUAAUAAUUUAAGCAGAAAACUUGCCGAAGUUAAUGGACUACCAGAGGUUAAAUUAACAUUUGAGCGUAGCAUACCACAGGUAAACCUUAUGAAAAGUGCACUAGUGUCUCUUGUAUCUAAUAGAUAUGAGGAAAGUAUGCUUUUAAUACCAGAUGAAGUUUUUGCAAUUAUGGUUCUCACUCUUGAUGGUGAUGAAAAUAAACCAGACAGUGAUAUUGUGUAUUUUUAUCCUAAAAACAGCAGCAAUGCGUCAAAUACUUUGUUGCAUCAAGUUAGAGGAUUGUUUCUUACCUUGGAUGAUACAUUAGCUGACUUUAUUGGUGAUUCAGCACAUAGCUCAAUUAUAAAGAUUUCUUCAAGACAAGUUAAUGUUUGUUAUAAAAAAAUGAAUAGAAAUUUAUUUGUUGCUGCAAUUCCAGAUGAAAGAUGCUCUAUGUCAAAGCUUAUUAAGACUGUGAAAGGGUUUACAGAUUUACUACUCAUCACAAAUACUCAUUUUUCAAGUUUAGAAACCAACCAAAAGCAUUUAAUUGUUUUAUUGUUGGAGAAUAUAUUUAACAAUUACGAAACUGAAGUUUUAUUUGGUGAUGUUUGCCAGCUUCAACUUCCCAUGGAAUAUUAUACAGAUGUUGGAUGUGUAUUAAAUGAUUUAGAAUCUGCUGACUAUGGAGAAUGUAUUGACGAUUUUUUCCCUCAUAGAAGAUUAUACUUUUUCCUUGGAACUGCUCUAUUUUAUAAGGACAAUUUAAUAUGCAAUCAUUUAAAUUCACUUCAUUUGAAAAAAGUACUUCUACUUUGUAAGUACUAUGGUUUGUUUUUACUGCUAAGCAAAGAAAGAGUGAACAAAAUGGUUUAUUGGAAAGAAAUUUUUAUAUCAGAAGAUUUUAAAGAUGGUAACUAUAGAUGGUUUGUUCUUGCUGUUGGUCAGGGUCAUAGUAUGUUAGUAACUCUUCUUGAGGCUGGUAGCAUUGCAUCUUUACCAAAUGGUAAUCCAGGACCACAUCCGUAUUAUGUUGAUGCAACCUCUUCAAUUUUAUCAUACAUUCUUGAAACAAUGAAUUUAGAAAGUUUCUGUGAGCUCAGACUAAACCAAACAUCUUUUCCAUCUGUUGGAAAACCAUUAAACUUAUCAGAGACCACUCAUCUUUUUGAGAACAACUUAUAUAGAAUGAAUUCAGAAGAUGAACAGUACGGCAACAACACUUCCCAUAUGAGCCAUUCAAAAAGUCUUGGAUCAUUUAGUGAUGUAUCUUAUAUCUCUCAGGGAUCUGCUACAUCACCUGGAUCAACUAACGCAAGUCUGCAGUUUUUAUUUCAUCAAAUAUUUGUGAUCCAUUAGAUACACUUUUUACAGAUGUUUUACGUCUAUUUCUGCUUUUUAGUGAAGAAAUUCAUAAAUGCUUUGUAGAAAGGACCCAGGUGAUUGAAAAAGGUGUAAUGUUUAAUGUUUUGUCAACGAAAGGAGCAGCGAUGAAAAAGGACUCACCGAAUAUGGUUUUUUGGG